CCUACGGGGGGCAGCAGUGAGGAAUAUUGGUCAAUGGUCGUAAGACUGAACCAGCCAAGUAGCGUGCAGGAUGACGGCCCUAUGGGUUGUAAACUGCUUUUGUCCGGGGAUAAAAUGCGCCACGCGUGAUGUUCCGUAGGUACCCCAUGAAUAAGCACCGGCUAAUUCCGUGCCAGCAGCCGCGGUAAUACGGAGGGUCCGAGCGUUAUCCGGAUUUAUUGGGUUUAAAGGGUGCGUAGGCCGGAUGUUAAGGGUGCCGUGAAAUUCAGUGGCUCAACCCUGGCACGGCGGCGGAAACUGGUUUGCUUGAGUGAGCGAAACGUAUGCGGAAUUCGUGGUGUAGCGGUGAAAUGCUUAGAUAUCACGAAGAACUCCGAUUGCGAAGGCAGCAUACGGGCGCGCUACUGACGCUGAAGCUCGAAGGUGUGGGUAUCGAACAGGAUUAGAUACCCUAGUAGUC
rnacentral:rRNA from 1 species